AGUGAGGAAUAUUGGGCAAUGCCCGAAAGGGUGACCCAGCAACGCCGCGUGGAGGAUGAAGGUCGUAAGAUUGUAAACUCCUGUUAGAGGGGAAGAAUAACUAAGUUUGGGCUUAGUAUGACUGUACCCUCAGAGUAAGCAUCGGCUAACUCCGUGCCAGCAGCCGCGGUAAUACGGAGGAUGCGAGCGUUAUCCGGAUUCAUUGGGUUUAAAGGGUGCGCAGGCGGGCUAAUAAGUCAGGGGUGAAAUUCCACGGCUCAACUGUGGGGCUGCCUUUGAUACUGUUAGUCUUGAGUUUAGUUGAGGUGGGCGGAAUGUAGCAUGUAGCGGUGAAAUGCAUAGAUAUGCUACAGAACACCGAUAGCGAAGGCAGCUCACCAAGUUAUAACUGACGCUCAUGCACGAAAGCGUGGGGAUCAAACAGGAUUAGAUACCCUGGUAGUCCACGCUGUAAACGAUGAUCACUCGUUGUUGGCGAUACACAGUCAGCGGCUAAGCGAAAGUGAUAAGUGAUCCACCUGGGGAGUACGAUCGCAAGGUUGAAACUCAAAGGAAUUGACGGGGGCCCGCACAAGCGGUGGAGCAUGUGGUUUAAUUCGAUGCAACGCGAAGAACCUUACCUAGGCUUGAAAGGCAAGUGACAGGGUAUGAAAGUACCCCUCCAGCAAUGGCACUUGUACAGGUGCUGCAUGGCUGUCGUCAGCUCGUGCCGUGAGGUGUUGGGUUAAGUCCCGCAACGAGCGCAACCCCUACUAUUAGUUGCCACCAGGUUAUGCUGAGCACUCUAAUAGGACUGCCUACGCAAGUAGUGAGGAAGGUGGGGAUGACGUCAAGUCCGCAUGGCCCUUACGCCUAGGGCUACACACGUGCUACAAUGGGUGUUACAAUGGGUUGCCAAACCGCAAGGUGGAGCCAAUCCUUUAAAAGCAUCCUCAGUUCGGAUUGGAGUCUGAAACUCGACUCUAUGAAGUUGGAAUUGCUAGUAAUCGCGGAUCAGCACGCCGCGGUGAAUACGUUCCCGGGCCUUGUACACACCGCCCGUCAAGCCAUGGAAGCCGGGGGUACCCAAAGCCAGUAUUCUAACCGCAAGGAGGAAACUGUUUAAGGUAAAACCGGUGACUGGGGCU
rnacentral:rRNA from 1 species